AACAUAGCCACUAGGUUUCAUUAUGUGGUUUAACCUGCCCAAUGUUAUAAUGAAUGGCCGCGGUACCCUGACCGUGCUAAGGUAGCGUAAUCAGUUGACUUUUAAAUGAGGUCAGGAAUGAAUGGGAGAACCGGGUUUAGCUGUCUCUAGGCCACUGUUUUGAAUUUACUAUCUAAGUGAAAAAGCUUAGGGUUAGAAGAGGGACGAGAAGACCCUUAGAAUUUUUUUUAAAAAGCAUGAGUUUGUUUUAUGAUUUUAUUGGGGCGAUAUAGAAAUAUUCAAAACUUUCUUUAAUGUAUGAGCCGAUUAUAUUAUGUAAGAACAAAUUACCUGAGGGAUAACAGCAUAAUUCUACAAGUGAGUUUGUGACCUCGAUGUUGGACUAGGAAACUAAUAGGCUAGCCGUUUAUUAUGUUAGGUUCUGUUCGAACUUAUAUUCCU
rnacentral:rRNA from 1 species